rnacentral:misc_RNA from 1 species
CUGCUUUCAUGCAUUUUUUAACAUCGAUAAUAAAAACUUCAAUACCAUAUUCAAUUCCAUACUUAUCGGGUUUCAUCAAAAAGAACAUUUUACUAAUAUAUUUGAAAAAGUGAGAAUCAAGGAAGUGACGGUAGACAUCAUGCAUUACAAUGUCAGUUGGCACCAGCGAAAAUGCAUAUGACAAACCAAACAUGCAAUGCAUAAUUGUAAAGAUGUAAGCUGGAGAAUAAAGAAGUAUAUUUCCAACAUAUUAAUGAUAAAAAUUUACUAGAAUAAUAAGGAGGGCAAUAAUUAGCCCUGCAAAACUGACUAACCAAAUGAGUUAAUCAUUUGUUUUAGGCCUAAGUUUUUCCCACAUGUUAUUGAGAUGGUGCAAUACGUCUGUAUACCGCUUGAAAUGUUUGUCCCCCAUUCCUAGCAACCUUUUGUCCUUCUUCAGUUGCUGUACUCAAGAGCUUUAUGACAGGAUCUGCUCCAAGGACCUCCUCUGUAAGGGCUUCAAACAAGGGGUGACUUGCCAGGCAAGAAUUCAUCCAUUCACCUAGUUCUUCCACAUCUGUAAUUGUGUAGAUAAUCCCACCAAUCUCAAGAACAUAGGCAUACUCAUCUAGCAAAUGCGGACUAAUGACCCGCCGGCGAUGAUUCUUCUCCUUGAAGUGGGGAUCUGGGAAUAGGAAAAACAUCUUUGAAAGUUGUCCUUUCCCAAAGUAAUUCGGUAUGUAUUUCAUGGAAUUGGUCCGAACCACUGAGAUAUUUUGAUAUUGACCUGGAUUGGUUGCCCUUAGUGCCGAAAUCCGUUCCUUAACAUACUCUGUCACCUUGUCCCUAAGUUCCAUACCAAUCAUUAGGGUUUCAGGAAAAAGGGUUGAAAGACUAAUAAGUAGCCCCCCAAAACCACAACCAACAUCUGCAAAUUGGAUCUUUUUGUUACUAUCCAAUUGAUCAGAUGAGACUAAUUGAGGGUAAUGAAAGGAAUAGUCAACAUGACAGGGGGAGAUUGGAACAGGGAAGUGCGAGUCACUUAGUGGGUUGCUAUGUGCCCGUGCUCUGUAGAAGCGUUUCCUAGGCAGGCCAGUUGACUUGCUGAUUGUUGGGUUUGACUCGUUUUCUAACAUAUUCUCAAUAAGAUGACAAAUCUGAAGCACCGGAAAGACGCUUUGGAGGUCGGGCGACGUCGGGGAAAAUCGACAGGAUUCACCAGAGUCAGAAACUGCCAGGAAUUUAAAUGCUAGCUUCGAUUCUCUUUUCUUUCUCCCUUCCCACAAUUUUCCGACGGAGUUUCACUUCGCCGGAGCUUCACUAGUUUGAAGGGAGAUGUAUGGGCAACGGUUAGCUUGAAACACACUGGUAAUAAGCCUUUUUUUGGCUUCGCCUGCCGUUUUCCGCAGAGAUAAAAG